UCCGGUUUGACACCGGCAGUCCCGUUAGAGUCCUCAGCAUUACCUGUUAGCAACUAACGGCAGGGGUUUCGCUCGUUAAGGGACUUAACCCGACACUUCACAGCACGAGCUGACGACAGCCAUGCAGCACCUGUGCACGUUCCACCCAAAGGGCGUUACUCCCCUUUCAGGGAGCUAAUCCGUGCAUGUCAAGCCCAGGAUAAGGUUCUUCGCGUUGCUUCGAAUUAAGCCACAUGCUCCACCGCUUGUGUGAGCCCCCGUCAAUUCCUUUGAGUUUUAGUCUUGCGACCGUACUCCCCAGGCGGCGCACUUAAUGUUUUAACUUCGGUCCGGAUGACGUCAGAGCCUCCCGAACCUAGUGCGCAUCGUUUACGGCGUGGACUAC
rnacentral:misc_RNA from 1 species